rnacentral:lncRNA from 1 species
UUGUCCUCAGAUGUACCUGAAGAAAAGGUCCCUUCACUCUGACCCUGGUCUGAUAUGGAGGGCUGUAUCUUGUACACGGGCCUGUGGUGCUGCUCUUCAAGGCUGCCUUCAAAAUGCCUCUCGGCUCUCUAAGCCAUGCCUUGGCAGUAGGCUUAUGUUUCUGCUAGUAAUUCUUUGCCUUUUCUUUGUAACUGCUUCCAGCCUAACCCCUUAGCUUUGCUAAGAUGAUUUUGUUUUGUGUUUUUAAGAGUUUCAGAUGAAGCGUAACAGGCUCAAGCACCUCCUAUUUUCUCCAGAACAAUAGAUUCAAAUAAAUCAGAGCUGCAAACAAACUCAUCAGGGUGCCUGCAAUCCCAGAUGAAUCUGAGCGUCCCAGAAGUUGGAACGUGUUUCCUUGGCGCGUUUCAAGAACCAGAGGAAGGCUCAUGUCCUGAGCUGCCACAGGGGAUGGGAUGCAUUGCAUAGUAUGUGCUCUGGCACAGAACAGAGAGGGGCAACUGCAAAAAUAACCCCAUCAUGCAGCAUGAAGUUAAAAAUAAUAAAGAUGCUGUGACAGGCAGAUUCUCACAGCCUUCUGAAGCGUCAAAGUAUAAGAGGGGUCAUUCUGCCUCGGAUAAUGCCAGGACAGUGAGGCCAGGUGGUUUUAGUGGGCCAUCACUCCACGCUCCCAGUACCAACUGGCAUAGCCAAGGCACAGACACCUGCUCUCUCUCUGUGCUAGGGAAGCAGUAAACCAUAGCAAGGAGGAGGACAAACCUCUGGACACAGAAAUCUCCUCAGCUGCCACAGCUAAAUCUGCCAGGAGCUGUAUAUUGAAACCUUUACCUUAGGGAUGGUACACGACCUCACAUGGCUGCUCCUCUUCUCUUCAGAGCACGGGCUCUCCAUGGUCUCUCAUCAAGCAAAGAGAUGGAGAAGAAGGUGAUUUUCUUGUGAAAUAGUAGCAUAACAUAGUGAUGUAGAGUAAGAAAUUUCAGCUGAAUCUCAACAGGGAGGGAGUAUUAUUUCCUGGUGCUGUCUGCAGGAAGCAAGAGUUCUGUACUCUGACUAGAGGUCGUAAGCCCACAGUCUCAAUUAUCCAGCAUUUUUGGCGGAGUUGUGCCAAAAUUG